rnacentral:rRNA from 1 species
AUUGAACGCUGGCGGCAGGCCUAACACAUGCAAGUCGAACGAGUGGCGGACGGGUGAGUAAUGUCUGGGAAACUGCCCGCUGGAGGGGGAUAACUACUGGAAACGGUAGCUAAUACCGCAUACCAUCGGAUGUGCCCAGAUGGGAUUAGCUAGUAGGUGUGGUAACGGCUCACCUAGGCGACGAUCCCUAGCUGGUCUGAGAGGAUGACCAGCAAAACGGGAACGGAGAAACGGUCAAGACUCCAACGGGAGGCAGCAGUGGGGAAUAUUGCACAAUGGGCGCAAGCCUGAUGAAGCCAUGCGGGGGUUUGAAGAAGGCCUUCGGGUUGUAAAGUACUUUCAGCGAGGAGGCGUUACUCGCAGAAGAAGCACCGGCUAACUCCGUGCCAGCAGCCGCGGUAAUUC